rnacentral:rRNA from 1 species
AAUUAGGCAAAAUAAUUAUAUUCACCUGUUUAUCAAAAACAUGUCUUUUUGAAAAUAAUUUAAAGUCAGUUCUGCUCAAUGAAAAAAAUUAAAUAGCUGCAGUAUAUUGACUGUACAAAGGUAGCAUAAUAAUUUGUCUUUUAAUUGAAGGCUAGAAUGAAUGAAUUAAUGAAAUAUAAACUGUCUCAAUUUUAUAAAAUAAAUUUAAAUUUUAAGUUAAAAUGCUUAAAUAAAUUUGAGGGACGAUAAGACCCUAUAGAAUUUUAUAUAAUUAUAUAAUUAAUUAAUUAUAUAAUUAUAUUUAAUUGGGAGGAUUUUUAAAUUUAAUAAACUUUAAAAUUUUUAAAUAUUGAUUAAUAGAAUAAAAUGAAAUAUAAAUUUAUAAAUAAAAAAUAAAUUACCUUAGGGAUAACAGCGUAAUAUUUUUAGAAAGAUCAAAUUGAAAAAAAUGUUUGCGACCUCGAUGUUGAAUUAAAAUAAAUUAUAAAUGUAGAUGUUUAUAAAUUUAGUCUGUUCGACUUUUAAAAUUUUACAUGAUUUGAGUUCAGAUCGACGUGAGUCAGAUUGGUUUCUAUCUUCAAAAAAAUUAAAUAUUUUUGUACGAAAGGACUAAAUUUUUAAAAUAAUUUUUUAAA